AGGAGAAUGAAGGCAUCUAGCUAAGGAAUCUUCAGACAAAUGUGAAGAAAAAGGACAAAUCAUCCAGAAAGUGUCCCAAGAAAAAGAGUACAUUGGCCUAUUAGUAUGUCACAUCUCCAACAGCACCAAUCUAUUUAAGAGAAGAUGAUGGGCAUCGAAGAAACUCCUUAUGGACUUUACUUUCUUUGUGGCAAAAGUUAGCCACUGGGCAAGGAAAUGCUCUUUCCUCAACUGCUGGCAGUAUGGUGUUCAAAUUGGACAAGCAGGACACAAAAGAAGUCAUGAGAAACACAAUUUCAUAGAACCAGGAUUAUACCCAACCAGACCUACAAGACAGGUGGCUGCACCUUUUCUAAAUAACCAUAGUAGACCAAAGAACACCAACAGCAGUUAACAGGACAUGGACUGAAUGACA